GACGACGUGGCCAUGGUGUCCAUGGCGCGCGUGGACUGGCGCGAGACCUCCGACUCCCACGAGAUCGUCGUCGACGUGCCAGGGAUGAGGAAGGAGGACCUAAAGGUGGAGAUCGAGGAGAACCGGGUGCUGCGGAUCAGCGGCGAGCGGCGGCGGGAGGUGGAAGAACGGAAGGGCGACCACUGGCACCGGGAGGAGCGCUCCUACGGCAAGUUCUGGCGCCAGAUGCGCCUCCCCGACAACGCGGACCUCGAUUCCAUCGCCGCGAGCCUUGACGCCGGCGUCCUCACCGUGCGCUUCCGGAAGCUGGCGCCCGAACAGAUCAAGGGCCCGCGCGUGGUUGGCAUCGCCGGGGGCGACGAUAGCUCCGCUGCCAAGAAGACCAUCGGCGACGCCGGUGCCGCUGGAGGCGAAGAGCGCCAGACCAAGAAAGUCGAGCUCUGAAUCCUGAACUCUGCACUGCGCAGAGUACCAAUGUUCUUACCACUUUCUAGUACGCGCUUGUCAGUUCCGCUUCUCAGUACAGCGUGUGGAAAAAUGUGAUGUACUAUUUUGAAUGUAAAAGCGACACUGAGUAGUCGAUUCACUCUAGCAUGUAAGAGAAGUUCACCGAGGAAAUAAGAAACCACAGAUCACUUUGUUUUGCCCGUGUUGAGA
rnacentral:lncRNA from 1 species